AUUGAACGCUGGCGGCAUGCCUAACACAUGCAAGUCGAACGGGGGUAGCAAUACCCUAGUGGCGGACGGGUGAGGAAUACGUAGGAAUUUGCCCUUAAGUGGGGGAUAACCCGGGGAAACCCGGACUAAUACCGCAUGAACACGUGAGAGCAAAGCAGGGGACGGCAAGGCCUUGCGCUUUUGGAGAAGCCUACGUCGGAUUAGCUAGUGGGUGGGGUAAUGGACCACCAAGGCGACGAUCCGUAACUGGUCUGAGAGGAUGAUCAGUCACACCGGAACUGAGACACGGUCCGGACUCCUACGGGAGGCAGCAGUGGGGAAUAUUGGACAAUGGGCGAAAGCCUGAUCCAGCAAUGCCGCGUGUGUGAAGAAGGCCUUCGGGUUGUAAAGCACUUUAGGCUGGAAAGAAAAAGCUUUGGCUAAUAUCCAAAGCCUUGACGGUACCAGCAGAAUAAGCACCGGCUAACUCUGUGCCAGCCGCCGCCGUAAGAC
rnacentral:rRNA from 1 species